UACGUAGGGGGCAAGCGUUGUCCGGAUUUAUUGGGCGUAAAGAGCGUGUAGGCGGCCAAGCAGGUCCGCUGUGAAAACUCGAGGCUCAACCUCGAGAUGUCGGUGGAAACCGUUUGGCUAGAGUCCGGAAGAGGAGAGUGGAAUUCCCGGUGUAGCGGUGAAAUGCGCAGAUAUCGGGAAGAACACCCGUGGCGAAGGCGGCUCUCUGGGACGGUACUGACGCUGAGACGCGAAAGCGUGGGGAGCGAACAGG
rnacentral:rRNA from 1 species